rnacentral:misc_RNA from 1 species
GAUGAAGAACGCAGCGAACUGCGAUAAGUAAUGUGAAUUGCAGAAUUCAGUGAAUCAUCGAGUCUUUGAACGCACAUUGCGCCCCCUGGCAUUCCGGGGGGCAUGCCUGUCCGAGCGUCAUUGCUGCCCUUCAAGCCCGGCUUGUGUGUUGGGUCGUCGUCCCCCCCGGGGGACGGGCCCGAAAGGCAGCGGCGGCACCGCGUCCGGUCCUCGAGCGUAUGGGGCUUUGUCACCCGCUCGAUUAGGGCCGGCCGGGCGCCAGCCGGCGUCUCCAACCUUCUAUUUUACCAGGUUGACCUCGGAUCAGGUAGGGAUACCCGCUGAACUUAAGCAUAUCAAUAAGGGAGGA